rnacentral:lncRNA from 1 species
AGUGAAGUGAUUGUCGGAGUGGUGGACACUGGCGUGUGGCCUGAGCUCAAAAGCUACGACGACACAGGGCUCGCGGCGGUACCAAGUGGCUGGAAAGGGGUGUGUGAGGCGGGAACAAACUUCAGCUCCUCAAACUGCAACCGGAAACUCAUAGGCGCGAGGUUUUUCUCGAAAGGGUAUGAAGCUACAGUUGGACCAAUCGAUGUGAAAACAGAAUCGAAAUCACCACGAGAUGAUGAUGGCCACGGAACCCACACCUCAUCCACUGCAACCGGUUCCGCAGUUUCAGGAGCUAGCCUCUUUGGUUAUGCUUCGGGGACAGCGCGAGGGAUGG